GAUGGGUUUUGGUAAAAUACUGACUAAUAGGCUGGACACAUACCUGCAGUAAAGAUUGAUACAUAGAUCAUCCCAUGUGAGGUUUUAAUGCAAGAACCCUCUUAGAAGACUGCACCAUUUUGUCAUUCAGACCCUAUUUGUAUUAGCAGCCCAUGUUGUACAAAGGCUACUUGUAAACCAAGUAAUAGGGCACAACUUUACACACACAAAAUUAGCUGGUUCAGUGAACUAGGAAGAAAACUAUAAGAAAAGAAACUCA